rnacentral:rRNA from 1 species
ACGCUCGACACCUACGGGNGGCAGCAGUGGGAAUAUUGCACAAUGGGGGAAACCCUGAUGCAGCGACGCCGCGUGGAGGAAGAAGGUCUUCGGAUUGUAAACUCCUGUUGUUGGGGAAAAAGAGGAUGGUACCCAACAAGGAAGUGACGGCUAACUACGUGCCACAGCCGCGGUAAUCUGAGCGGGCUGGCAAGGC